UUUGGACAUAAUAUAAUCAUAUUAAGCUUACAAUCUACAAUCGUAUACGCUAUUAACUCCGAGGAUGUUGAAAACCCUAAUUUCCUCUGCACGCUACCAAUUGCCGCCAAACAACAUCUCUUCUGUCUCCCUCUUUGCUCUCUACAGUAUCCGACAACCCUCUGUUACCACCAACUUCUUGACGCCGUGGGCCGUGUGUAAUUUUUUUGUCUAGGCUUUUUACAAGACCUCCUCAUUUGAAUUCCCUGCAAUAUUAUCCUAUGAUAACUGGUAAAUUGAAAUUCCUGUUCAUCCCUAUCUCCCUUAAUGGCUUAUGCCAUGCCAUUAUGCUGAACUAUUCUCCACUUAUUGAUUUUUUGGGAUCUUGAAUGGCAUCUUCUCCAUCACCAAAACCAGAACCUGUUUGGGCAAGAAGAGGCCUUUUUUUUAUUCCAUUGAUGACUUUGUUUUGUUUCCAUAUGUGAAGAGGUCUGUUAGGGUUUUUUUUGUCGACGUGAUUUAUGAUGUUAUUUUUAUAUUUCAGAUUCAUAUUCUCAAUCAUUAAUCUGAACUUGAACCCGAAACAUCUUCUAUCCUCUCUAUCAAUAUUUUGUUUUCUUUGUUUACUGUAGCUAUCGAAUUCUAUCCAUGUGCCUAGAAGGUGUUUGUAGAAACACCUCAAUGAAGUCAAGAAUAUAUAUAAGUUUUGUCAUUAUCACUUGUAACACCUAGAAUGUUUUCUGAGAUCUUGAGGUUUCUCACACAACAACUCUUUUUCUUCCUAUGAAUCCUUAUUUUGAAAGAAAUAUGUUUUAUGCACUCAAAGUAUUUUGCAUUUUUUGGUUUACCUUAUUGUUUCAGUUUUAGGGCAUUUUGAUUCAGUUGGAAGACAUACAUGGAGGAGAUGAAGAGAAAGGUGGAGUUUGACAUCACAUUAAUGAAUUAGAUUGACAUCCUAAGUUUAUGUAUUUCUCGAGCUUUGGUAUUCAUUGCAAGAAACAUAUUUGGAUUUUGUAAUGGAGUAUAAGUUUGCAAGUGGAAGUUCACAUCAUGCAUGUUGGAGAUGGUUUGUUACAUAAGCUCGGAUAGGUAAAAGUUGGAUUAUGCUUCUUAAUAAGCUUCUCGUAUAAUUUAUUGGAUUGAUUCAUAUGAUUAUGUGAUGCUUGGCUUAUGACAGUGGAAAAGUUCACUCUGUUACAACACAAGGCUUUCAUAUUUUGUUUUGUUUAAUAUAUCAUCAUACUCAUUUUUUUUUCUAUUUAUAAACUAAGUAAUCUUUAUAGGAAAUUGGAGAUUUUUUUAUAGCCGCAUGUCUCUAAUAUUAUUUAAUAUUUACGGGAAGUUGGAUGUGUGGGUGUGAUGGGCGAUUAUCUCAUUGCUUUGAUAAAAUUAUGGCAUGAAUCCAAGGAACACAUUAUUGAAGGCACAAAGAAUAGUAGUUUCAUCACAAUUUCAUAUGAUGAGGUGACCGAGAUGCUGGUGCUAAAUAGUUGAAAUGGAGGAGACAUGGGCGUGAGGUAGGGAUGGAAGCACUGAGUAAAGAGGGUCUCACUAUCACAUCAUAUUAGAGGUUGACAGGUCCUAUAAUCCUUGAUCGUGAUCAGUGGCGCCAUUGUCCAAAAUUCACUAUCAUGCUUGUGGAUCUUGAAGAGACAUGCUACAAAAAAAAUUAUCGAAGAGCAGUAGGUUGAUAUGAAGGGAGCGAAUUCCAAGGAAGUAAGAUGGAGCCACCACUAGGAUGUCCAACAGAUGAGCCCGCAUUCAUGUUGGCCUGAGGUUGCUGAUUUCACUGUUGUGUAGCCAGCCCAAGGAGUUCAUUGGACUGUUGCUAUAGUCGAGAUACUAAAGAGGCACAUUGUGGUCGCUGUUGAUUUGUCCCAGAAUUCCAAUGCAUCUGAGCAGUCGUUAUUCGUUUUCUUAUUCAAGACCCUAUCAUCCGUGAUUUUGUCCAUGAGUUGUUUGCGUAUUUCGGUUGUUUAUGGAUUUCUUUUUUUGUUGUUGAACGCUUUAUAAAUUUAGGCAUUUGAAAAAAAAUUCAAUUGCUUAUACCUAAUUAUCAUGUGACGUACCUCGGGGUCGGGUGGGGGUUAAUGCUCUAGGGAUAUCUGCAAACCCUCCGACCCUAUUAAAAUGAUUACUCGCUGUAAUUUUCCGGUAUCUAAAAUGUUUUUGUACAUA